rnacentral:tRNA from 1 species
GCGGGUGUAGUUCAAUGGCAGAACGGCAGCUUCCCAAGCUGCAUAUGGGAGUUCGAUUCUCCUCACCCGCUCCA